GUGCUCGCUUUGGCAGCACAUAUACUAAAAUUGGAAUGAUACAGAGAAGAUUAGCAUGGCCCCUGCCCAAGGAUGACAGGCAAAUUCAUGAAGCGUUCCAUAUUUUU
ensembl:snRNA U6 U6 spliceosomal RNA